AGAGGAGAUGAGUCAAGGUCACUCUCACACAAAGAGAUGCCACUUCAUUGGUGUGUGGGGAUUCGGUUAGUGAGCACCAUUUUGAGAGUUUUCAUUGUGGAGGCAUAGGCGCCACUGUCUGCACAGCUGGUAGAUUCUUACUAGUGGCGCCAUUGACGAGACCAGAGGAGGAGGGCGUGGAUGAGGAGGUGGCGGCGGCGGCAGCAUCGACAGCUCCUGCAUGCAACAACAACAACAACAGUGCAAAUGAAAAGCAGAUGCUAAGAAGAAGAAAGGAAUGCAAUGCAGACAAAAGCCAGUCUGGCUCUUAUCAGUGAAGUGUAGCAGUCAGCAUGAGUUCUAUGCCAGUGUGAACAAAAACAACGAGCUGCAACCUGAGCUGAUUUAGAGAUGGCACAGAUAAAGAUCUAAUGAUAAUCUGAACUAAAAUCAUCGGCUUCAGAUGUAAAAAUUAUAUAUUAUAUAUAUAUUAUAAAAUUAUAUAAUUAUAAAUCACAAUUGUUUAGUGUUCGGCUCCCUCACUGGAGGGGAAAGGUCAAACAAUGUGAGAUCACAAGGUCUGGGUGGAUGCCUUUGGCAUUGAAAUACUGGCCUCAUGCCUGUUAAAGUUCAUUGAGGAAAGGGGAUUUUUUUUUCCGGAAAAAAAAAAAAAAAAAAAAAAGUAGCUUCUCAUAGUGGAUAGUGAAGGUGUGCUUUCAAAUAACUUGACUGCUGGACAUCUGCUGUAAACUCAAUCCAUGGACAUGACAGAGCUUGAGGUUGCUUAAAGAAGUAUAAAGUGUGCUGGAAAUACUCAAUUUACCAGCGAUAUUUCAAUGGAAGUGUUUCAUUUAGUUGCAUAAGGGGGAAUUCUGGAGGCGGAAACAAAGGUUUGCAUUGUGAGGCAGCUGCAGGCUGUUGGGAAAGUAAACACCGCCAUCUAGUGGAAAACAUCUGACCCAGUGCAGAUUUUGGGUGGUUCCACAUAAUUUAAGCUUAAACCACACUUACCCAUGGUGUUGAUCAUGCUUUUGGGGGUCACGGAGGCAGCAGCAAAUAUAUUGGGGGCCAACAGGCCAGAAGAAGGACUUCCACCCACUGUGGUGACGGCGAGGCCUCCAUGGGAAGGCCUCUUCACAGGCACCACCACACUCCUGUAGACCAGAGACACAAAACGCAAAAUUUACACAUGCAAGAUGUCAGCUAUGACCUACUACACUUUCCUUUUCAUGUGUUCUUUUGCUACUGGUGGACCUCUGCCCUCCCAGAGUGGAAAAGGAAGCCCUGUGUGAGCAGCAGGACGUCUGCGGGUCAUCUAGGGAAGAACUCUGACCCCAUUAGUGUUUAUUACUAUACAGAUAUCAAGCUCAAGUUCUGUUUUUGCACAUGGACCACUGAUUGGGAAAUGCCUCAAGAUCAUUUUAAAGAUAACGGAAUGUAAGAACUAUUUGCUCCCCUGACAGGAGAGAGAAGUCACGUUUUUGUCCUCGGUAUGUCUGUAUUUGGUCUUAAGGUUGUUUUUGUAAAAUGUCUGAGCAGGCCUGUUUGGUCUCCAGCUAAGCCUGUUGGCGUCUGAGUCCGAUCUCUGGAAAGCCUCAAGAGAGACAACACACAAUCAUUCUGUUUAGUGUUGCCUGUUGCAGGAAGAGAUUGAUACGCCGAGAGAAAGUCAUCAGUUCUGAAACAGCCUCAUCAUCCUGUAGUCUGUGAUGUGGGUGGAAAAAAAAAAUAGCACUGAAUGACUUGUCCCCAUUUAGAAGACUCCAAAACGUAUAAUGUAGAACUGUAUUGUUCCCUAGUGGACACAACGCUAAAGACACAGGCGCAAUGAUUGUUAAUUUGUAAGUUCUCUGCAAAAUUUUAUAACUGAUCUGGGUUCUACUGCUUAUUUAUUUAAAUCAAGACAUGAUAAAUGUAUUAUGAACACAUCUGUGUGAUUAACCAUUGUGUCUCUUAUGGUUGUCAGGCGGGUGGUCUACAAAAAUAAAUACACAAAUCAAACAGACAAUUUACAACUGUGGCUGUAAACAAUUUCCAGAGGUCAUUUUUGAAAUUAUAGCUGUAUUUUUUAGUAUCAUGAGGAAUUUUGCCCAUCAUCCACAGUCAGAAAACACAAGUAUCAUGUACAAUGUUUGCUCCUAAGACCGAUUGGUGCUGUGUUGUGUUGUGCAACUUUUAUAAAUGACCAUAUUAUCAGUGGGUUUGUCUUCCCCACUUUCUCAAUCAUUAUUGAAGUUAAAACAUGUUGAUAUAUUGUUAUAUUGUAUAUAAUUAAAUAGAAGUAACAGUCUCUCUCCAAUUAAUUCAAUUACCGAUUGUUUCCAAUUAACACCCAGGUAAUAAUUACGUUUAAUUGAAGUUUAAAGUAUUUUAUGGAUUCAAUGUGUGCCUACUGUAUAUUCUAAACAUGAAGUUACACAUUUGGAGCUCUGCCUGAUGAUAAAAACAAAAAUUACAUAAUUUUAUG